UUUUCCUGUGGCAGCCCGAGGUCCAUGUCACUUUAAGGAGGGGCUCGAGGGAGGCUUUUCAAGGCCAGAGAAGGACGAGGGUAAAAGGACAACCUAGCCCUCCAGCACAGGCCUGCUCUGGGGCAGACAGCUUUAGGAAAGAGCGUACGUCUGAAGACUGACUCCUUGACUAUCUGUGUCUACCUUCCCCUUGGAAAGUCUCUGCAUACCCCAGUGUGAAGACUGAGCCACAGGGUGCACUGAGCUCUUCCUCCCUCAAACCUAGGCAGGUGUCUAGGUGCUUAGGGAAAGGCAAAGACAUCUGAAAAGAAACAAAACAUGUCCACAGCCCUUACCCCAUCCCAAGAAAAACUGCAAGUAAAGACGAGGCUACAAAAAGGUGCCACUGGACAGAGGGCCAGACCGCCUUCCACUGCAUAAACAUUUCCCCCCGGCUGCAUCUUCCUAACUGGGAUUUAGCCAUGUGGAGAAGCUAAACUAUCAAUCCUCCAGGUUAACCUUGUUCCAUCAGAUUCUCCAGGUAUCCUUCAAAGAACUUCCUUCCUGCCUCUGCAAAUCAGAAAUUCAGCAAAAGGAGCAUCUGUCCUAAACACCUGCCAGGGGAGGACAAAGCAUUGAAGAACAAUUGCUCGUCUUUGCAGCAUUUCACAUUCCAUACAAGAGACAAAAGGCCCAACCCCCACUACCCUCUGAGAAGCAGAAAGGGGAACGGAACAGG
ensembl:lncRNA novel transcript, antisense AATF